rnacentral:rRNA from 1 species
AUUGAACGCUGGCGGCAGGCUUAACACAUGCAAGUCGAGCGAGCGGCGGACGGGUGAGUAAUGUCUGGGAAACUGCCUGAUGGAGGGGGAUAACUAAUGGAAACGGUAGCUAAUAACGCAUACCAUCAGAUGUGCCCAGAUGGGAGUAGCUAGUAGGGGGGGUAAUGGCUCACCUCGGCGACGCUCCCUAGCUGGUCUGAGAGGGUGACCAGCCCCCCUGGAACUGAGGCACGGUCCAGACUCCUACGGGAGGCAGCAGUGGGGAAUAUUGCACAAUGGGCGCAAGCCUGAUGCAGCCAUGCCGCGUGUGUGAAGAAGGCCUUCGGGUUGUAAAGCACUUUCAGCGAGGAGGCGUUACUCGCAGAAGAAGCACCGGCUAACUCCGUGCCAGCAGCCGCGGUAAUAC